rnacentral:rRNA from 1 species
AUAUCAAUAAGCGGAGGAAAAGAAACUAACAAGGAUUCCCCUAGUAACGGCGAGUGAAGCGGGAACAGCUCAAAUUUAAAAUCUGGCGGCCUUCGGUCACCCGAGUUGUAGUCUAGAGAAGUGUUUUCUGUGCUGGACCAUGUACAAGUCUCUUGGAACAGAGCGUCAUAGAGGGUGAGAAUCCCGUCCUUGACAUGGACUCCCAGUGCUAUACGAUGCACUCUCAAAGAGUCGAGUUGUUUGGGAAUGCAGCUCAAAAUGGGAGGUAAAUUCCUUCUAAAGCUAAAUAUUGGCGAGAGACCGAUAGCGAACAAGUACCGUGAGGGAAAGAUGAAAAGCACUUUGGAAAGAGAGUUAAACAGUAC